UGGGAUCCAGAAAGAUCAUUGUGUUCAGCGGCUCAAGAAUUGACAGCUGCACAGCUUGAAGAUCUGCUACCAUCUUCUAAUUUAGGAGCUGCAUCGAAGAAAAUGAAGGCUGCUAAACAGGAAGCAGAUAAUGUUGAAGCAUUGGAAGGGCUAGACACUCUUGCGAACUUGGCUAUUUUAGGAGAGAAUGAGGUACUUCCAACUUCAUCCCAGGCAACCACAAAGCA
rnacentral:misc_RNA from 1 species